AGAGUUUGAUCAUGGCUCAGGAUGAACGCUGGCGGCGUGCCUAAUACAUACAAGUCGAGCGAACCACUUCGGUGGCGAGCGGCGAACGGGUGAGUAACACGUAGGUGAUCUGCCCAUCAGACGGGGACAACGAUUGGAAACGAUCGCUAAUACCGGAUAGGACGAAAGUUUAAAGGUGCUUCUGGCACCGCUGAUGGAUGAGCCUGCGGCGCAUUAGCUAGUUGGUAGGGUAAAGGCCUACCAAGGCGACGAUGCGUAGCCGACCUGAGAGGGUGAACGGCCACACUGGGGCUGAGACACGGCCCAGACUCCUACGGGAGGCAGCAGUAGGGAAUCUUCGGCAAUGGGCGGAAGCCUGACCGAGCAACGCCGCGUGAAUGAUGAAGGCCUUCGGGUUGUAAAAUUCUGUUAUAAGGGAAGAACGACUUUAGUAGGAAAUGGCUAGAGUGUGACGGUACCUUAUGAGAAAGCCACGGCUAACUACGUGCCAGCAGCCGCGGUAAUACGUAGGUGGCGAGCGUUAUCCGGAAUUAUUGGGCGUAAAGAGCGCGCAGGUGGUUGAUUAAGUCUGAUGUGAAAGCCCACGGCUUAACCGUGGAGGGUCAUUGGAAACUGGUCGACUUGAGUGCAGAAGAGGGAAGUGGAAUUCCAUGUGUAGCGGUGAAAUGCGUAGAGAUAUGGAGGAACACCAGUGGCGAAGGCGGCUUCCUGGUCUGUAACUGACACUGAAGCGCGAAAGCGUGGGGAGCAAACAGGAUUAGAUACCCUGGUAGUCCACGCCGUAAACGAUGAGUGCUAAGUGUUGGGGGUCGAACCUCAGUGCUGAAGUUAACGCAUUAAGCACUCCGCCUGGGGAGUACGGUCGCAAAACUGAAACUCAAAGGAAUUGACGG
rnacentral:rRNA from 1 species